ACAGUGGCUAAGACUGGAUAGGAAGAUAAAAGGCAUCUUUUAUCUUUUAAAAGACCUAGUAAUAGGUAUGCUUUAGGAGGGGCUUGCGCCAUAUUAGUUAGUUGGUAGGGUAAUGGCCUACCAAGACGAUGAUGUGUAGCUGGACUGAGAGGUUGAACAGCCACAUUGGGACUGAGACACGGCCCAAACUCCUACGGGAGGCAGCAGUAGGGAAUUUUCGGCAAUGGAGGAAACUCUGACCGAGCAACGCCGCGUGAAUGACGAAGUACUUCGGUAUGUAAAGUUCUUUUAUCAAGGAAGAAAAGCAAAUGGCGAACCAUUUGUUUGCCGGUACUUGAUGAAUAAGCCCCGGCUAAUUAUGUGCCAGCAGCCGCGGUAAGACAUAAGGGGCAAGUGUUAUCCGGAAUUAUUGGGCGUAAAGGGUGCGUAGGCGGUCUAGUAAGGCAGUGGUGUAAUGGCAACGCUUAACGUUGUCCGGCUAUUGAAACUGCUAAACUUGAGUUAGAUAGAGGCGAGUGGAAUUCCAUGUGUAGCGGUAAAAUGCGUAAAUAUAUGGAGGAACACCAGAGGCGUAGGCGGCUCGCUGGGUCUUAACUGACGCUGAGGCACGAAAGCGUGGGGAGCAAACAGGAUUAGAUACCCUGGUAGUCCACGCCGUAAACGAUGAGUACUAAGUGUCGGGUUAAACCGGUACUGAAGUUAACACAUUAAGUACUCCGCCUGAGUAGUACGUACGCAAGUAUGAAACUUAAAGGAAUUGACGGGACUCCGCACAAGCGGUGGAUCAUGUUGUUUAAUUCGAAGAUACCCGAAAAACCUUACCAGGUCUUGGCAUGUUUUUGCAAAAUGAUAGUAAUAUCGUGGAGGUUACCAGAAACACAGGUGGUGCAUGGUUGUCGUCAGCUCGGGUCGUGAGAUGUUAGGUUAAGUCCUAAAACGAGCGAAACCCUUAUCGUUAGUUGCCAGCACGUUAUGGUGGGGACUUUAACGAGACUGCCAAUGAUAAAUUGGAGGAAGGUGAGGAUCACGUCAAAUCAGCAUGCCCCUUAUGACCUGGGCUACAAACGUGAUACAAUGGCUGUUACAAAGGGUAGCUGAAACGCAAGUUCUUGGCCAAUCCCCAAAAACAGUCCCAGUCCGGAUUGAAGUCUGCAACUCGACUUCAUGAAGUUGGAAUCGCUAGUAAUCGCGAAUCAGCAUGUCGCGGUGAAUACGUUCUCGGGGUUUGUACACACCG
rnacentral:rRNA from 1 species